rnacentral:rRNA from 1 species
UGGGGAAUUUUGGACAAUGGGCGAAAGCCUGAUCCAGCAAUGCCGCGUGUGUGAAGAAGGCCUUCGGGUUGUAAAGCACUUUUGUCCGGAAAGAAAUCCUUGGCUCUAAUACAGUCGGGGGAUGACGGUACCGGAAGAAUAAGCACCGGCUAACUACGUGCCAGCAGCCGCGGUAAUACGUAGGGUGCAAGCGUUAAUCGGAAUUACUGGGCGUAAAGCGUGCGCAGGCGGUUUGCUAAGACCGAUGUGAAAUCCCCGGGCUCAACCUGGGAACUGCAUUGGUGACUGGCAGGCUAGAGUAUGGCAGAGGGGGGUAGAAUUCCACGUGUAGCAGUGAAAUGUGUAGAGAUGUGGAGGAAUACCGAUGGCGAAGGCAGCCCCCUGGGCCAAUACUGACGCUCAUGCACGAAAGCGUGGGGAGCAAACAGGAUUAGAUACCCUGGUAGUCCACGCCCUAAAACGAUGUCAACUAGUUGUUGGGGACUUCAUUUCCUUAGUAACGUAGCUAACGCGUGAAGUUGACCGCCUGGGGAGUACGGUCGCAAGAUUAAAACUCAAAUGAAUUGACGGGGU